rnacentral:rRNA from 1 species
UACGUAGGGACCGAGCGUUGUCCGGAUUUACUGGGCGUAAAGAGCGUGUAGGCGGCCACGCAGGUCCGUUGUGAAAACUGGAGGCUCAACCUCCAGCUGUCGACGGAAACCGUGUGGCUAGAGUCCGGAAGAGGAGAGUGGAAUUCCUGGUGUAGCGGUGAAAUGCGCAGAUAUCAGGAAGAACACCAAUGGCGAAGGCAGCUCUCUGGGACGGUACUGACGCUGAGACGCGAAAGCGUGGGGAGCGAACAGG